AAAAGUCUAAAGUAAACCCAACAUUAGUCGGUAGUCAAUAGAGAACAGACGAAAGAAAAAAAAUCCCCUAAACUUCAACUUCAAUUCCCUAAUUGAACCAGGCCAGCCACCUUCUGUCCGGCACUCCGGCGUCUACCAGGUCACCAUCCAUCACCGGCGUCUACUUGCAUUUCUAAUACUGAGUCUGACUCCUCUUCUCUAGCUUCUACAACCCGCCAUCUGCUUGACUGCUUCAGGCAAAGAAAGAAUGUCCACCAAACCAACAUUUAUUAAGGGUAGUGUUACACCUCCUACUUUGAUAGAUUCUGAAAAUUCGGGAGUUAGAGCUUCAAGCCAAACAAAAGGGGCUACUGGGAAAAGAAAAGUCGCUCCUCAAAGGUCAGAAGUUUGGUCUCACUUCACUAAGAUUAUUAAUAGUGAGGGUGCAAGUAAGGCUAAAUGUAAUUAUUGUCAAAAGGAAUUUUGUUGUGAUAUGAAAAAAAAUGGUACAGGAUCAUUGAAAUAUCAUAUUGGUUCAUGUAAGAAAAAUCCUAGUAAUGUUGUUGACACUAGUCAAGGACAAAUAGUUUUACCUAGAAAGGGAGUUGAAAGGGGGGAAGGGCAUCUUUCAACUUGGAGAUUUGAUCAAGAAGCAUGUAGGAAAGGAUUAGCACAAAUGAUUGUGAUUGAUGAAUUACCUUUCAAGUUUGUUGAAAGUAAAGGCUUUAAUAAAUUUAUGGUUGUGGCAUGUCCUAGGUUUCAUAUUCCUUUUUAAUAAAUUUAUGGUUGUGGCAUGUCCUAGGUUUCAUAUUCCUUCACGAACUACAAUGACUAGAGAUGUUUAUCAACUAUAUUUAGAUGAAAGGGUCAAGAUAAAAUAACUUUUGAGAAGUUCUUGCUCUAGAGUUUGUUUAACUACUGACACAUGGACUUUUUUGCAAAGAGUUAAUUAUUUGUGUAUCACUGCUCACUUUAUUGAUAACGAUUGGAAAUUGAAUAAAAAGAUUUUAAACUUUUGUCCAAUUUCUAGUCAUAAGGGUGAGUCCAUUGGGAUGGUGAUUGAGAAAUGCUUGUUGAAUUGGGGGAUUGAUAAGUUGUUUACUGUUACUGUUGAUAAUGCAAGUUCAAAUGAUGUUGCUAUUGGUUAUUUGAGAAAGAAAUUUAACCCUCGAGGGGGUUUAGUUCAAAAUGGAAAAUAUCUUCAUAUGAGAUGCAUGGCACACAUUGUGAAUUUGAUUGUUGUUGAAGGCUUAAAGGAAAUGAAUAAAUCUGUUGAACAUGUUAGGGGGGUUGUUAGAUAUGUGAGACAAUCUCCAGCUAGAUUACAAAAGUUUAAGGAGUGUGUUGUGGUGGAAAAGAUAAAGUGCAAAAAGAUGUUGUGUCUUGAUGUUUGUACUAGGUGGAACUCGACUUACUUAAUGUUAGACACUGCUCAGAACUUUGAAAGAGCUUUUGAGAGAUUUGAAGAGCAAGAUACAAACUUUAGGGCUGAACUUGAAAGGGGAGAGGGUUGGCCUAGUGUGGAUGAUUGGGCUAAUGUUAGAGACUUGAGGGAUUUCUUGAAACACUUUUAUGAAGUCACUUUGCGUAUAUCUGGCACUUCAUAUGUCACACCCAAUAAUUUUUUUGAUGAGCUUUCUAAAAUUGAUAUUCUUUUACGAGAUGCUCAAUUGAAUAGUAAUGUUGAUUUCAAUGUUAUGGCCAUCAAGAUGAAAGAGAAGUAUGAUAAGUAUUGGGGUGAUAUUGAUAAGAUGAAUUUGCUUAUGUUUGUUGCUUGUGUUUUAGAUCCUAGACAAAAACUAAAGUAUCUUGAAUUUGCACAUAGUGAAAUGUCUAGUUCUGAAAAAGCUUUUGAAAUGAUACAAAAUUUGAAGGAAUCUUUGUAUGAAUUGUUUGAUGAGUAUAAGCCUCCACUUCAUAGUACUUAUAGCCAAUAGAGUGUGCCAACACAUGUUUCUCUCGGUGAACCACAACAAAAAAUGAAAAGGCGAAUGCAAGCUUUGUAUAAAAAGCGUGAGUUGGAAAUUUGUGGUGAGGAUAAAACAUCUGAGUUGGAUAAAUAUCUAGCUGAGGCUAAUGAGGAAUUUGUUGAAGAUUUUGAUAUUUUAUUGUGGUGGAAAGUGAAUAGCCCUAGAUUUCCCGCUCUUUCAAAAAUGGCCAGAGAUGUGUUAGCUAUACCGGUUUCUACGGUUGCUUUAGAGUCUGCAUUUAGCACCGGGGGACGUGUGCUUGAUCAAUAUAGGAGUUCUUUAACUCCUAAAAUUGUACAAGCUCUUGUGUGUACUCAAGAUUGGAUUCAAAAAUCAUCAUCACAAGAAGACAUCAAAAAGAUUGAAGAACAAAUCCAAGAGCUUGAUAAGAUUGAAAAUGACUUUUCUUGGAAUGCAUCAGAGCCUACCCUAAAUUCAUAAGCUUUCGUGAGUUGAAGGAGAUCUUUUGGAGAGAAGAAAAUUGAUACAAAUGGAAAAUAUUGAAGGCUUACAUUUCAAUUAUAUGUUAAUUUCAAGACUUAUGUAAUGUUUUUAAUUAUGUAGUGAUUCAAAGACUUAUGUAAUGUUUUUAAUUAUGUAAUGAUUCAAAUUUGGGUGAUUUGGGUAAUUCGGUUAAUUCGAAUAAUUCGGGUAAUUCGGGUAAUUCGGUUAAUUCGGUUAAUUUUUAACCAAAAAUAAAAAAAAUUGUAAUUUUCAGUUAAUUCGGUUAACCGACCAAAUUAACCGAAAAAUUUUUGUUCGGUUAAUUUUUUUGAAAAAAUUUCGGUUCGGUUAACGGUUAAAAAUUUUGAAAGGUCGGUUAAUUUGGUUAAUGAUAUUUCGGGUCGGUUAAUUGACUGAACAUCCCUAGUUAUUCAUGUUGAAUAAUUUAAAGAAUUAGGGGUUAAAUUGAUAGAAUUUUAAGUUAGAAGUGAAAUAGGGAUUGAAUUGUAAAAUAAAUCAUAAGUUUUUAAUAGUAGGGACUAAAUUGAAAGAAUUUUGAAAUUAGGGUUUUAUGGUGAAAUUAGAGAGUUGAAAUUAGUCUAAAGUGGGAAUUGAAUGAAAAUAUGAGAUUUGUUUUGGAAAAAUAAAGGUUGUCUAAAUUUAGGGAUUAAAUUGAAAUUUGAGUUAAAGUUGAAUAUGAAUUGAAAUAUUCAAUGUGAAAUUGUGUGUAUUGAUGAUUUUUAG